ensembl:lncRNA
GCCAAAUGAGAUCUUGUGUGAGUUUGUUUGUCCAGUGCUCUUUCUGCUGCCAUAUGCUCAGAGGCUUAUGCUGAGGCUGCCUUAGGUGCACCACAUGCAAAUUCAUCAUCUAUGAGCUGGCUGUUGUGAAGGGAGUCUUGACUUGCUUCCUGUUCUCAGUAGGUUGAUUUCUACAGCUGCUUGUAUUUAAAUCUGCCCAUACUUGUGGCUGAUGUAAGAGGUGGGAUGAGUGUUUCUCACCUGGGUCUGGAGGCAAAGUCAGAUAUCAGAACUGUAGUUCAUAGGAGCUGCACCAGCAAAACAGCUGCAGAGCAGCUUGGGUGAGCCUCUCAUGCCUGCCAAGAGAUCCCUUAGAUCCUACAUUUUCUGUUCCAGUUCAGCUUUGUUUAUAGUGCUAUUGCAGAGUAACAGUCUCGUGUACAUAGAAAUAGCCUGACCUGUGUAUGUCAUUCAGCUCUUAUUAGCAGUUUUAAUCCCUCGGUCCUGCACCAGUCUCCUCUGCCUGGCACAAUGGAAGCAGCAUCAGAUGGUCAAACAAUGUAAGUUUGAGGGGUUUUUGGCUGGGCUGUUCUCUUAUAUCUGCAGAGGUGGAGGGUAGAUGCAUUUGAUGCUGGAGAAUUUCACUGAACACAAAAUAAGCUCAAUGCCAGGCUGUGCCAGCUCCCCAGGGUCAGACCCUGCCAUGGAUUAGAAAUGUGUCUGCUCUUUUCAUCUCUCUAAACGCACAUCUGAAAGUGAGACAUCUGAAUGUGAGCUUAUCACCCCAGGCUUUCUGUAUAACUCAGACAAGAGUCUAAUUUUUACACGUUCAAGAGUGAAAAGAUGAAUCCCACCUGAUGUUUCAAAUGUUGACUUUGUAAUAAAAAUCUGCCAAAGCUUUACCCUUGCUGAUGCCUUGAUAAUUUUUCUUUUUCUGAUUUUCAGAGGCCUCUUGGAUCAAGCUGGAGAAAUAGUGAAGCUCAUGAAAGAGAACCAGAUGAUGGACUUCCAAAAUGAUUGGAAACUGAUCACAGUUUUCUUUAGUGCUGAAACCCCGUGCUCUUCUUGUGCUUCCACACAACCGGUAAUCUUGUCAUGGGGUCGUUUAGCAGUCAAAGUGUGUGAUUCGAUCACUUUUGCAAGCUCUACCCUUUGUUGUAGUGAACCAAAGCAGUAGCUGGUUCCAGAAGAUUGGAGUGAUUCUAUUCAGUAGCAUGAGCUUCUGGUCCACAAAGUCUUUUGUACUUAGAAACAUGUACUUGAUUUAGAAUUCCAAAUCUGAGAUGCAGUAGUAGAACAGUUCUGAUUCGUUUUUAAGCUGUUUCUCAUCACAUUUAUAGAAGAACUGCAUAUUGGACAACCUGGAAAAACUUCAAGAAGUCUUGGACUUUUUAUAUAAAGAAGUAAGACUUAUUCAUCAGUUUUCAAUACCUGAAUCCUCUGCUGAUUUAUUUAUUUUUUUCUGUCUUAUUGAACUCUGGCUUGUAUCAGUGUUCAAGUGAUUCACAACACAAAUCUCACUGACUUUAAUCCUCUAGCACUAUUCAUUGCCAGUAAGUGUUUUAUUUGUGCUUUAAAAAUCUGAUGCAUAUGAAGAGAAAGGACAGACAGGUAACAGCUUAGCUUUGUUACUUGGACUGAUGUGCUACUUAAUCUAGGCUGUUUAUUUUUAAAGUGAUUUGCAUGAAAAAUGGGCUAGAUCAAUCUAAAUCUAGAUGUUCCUUUCUAAUAGUGGUCUUUAUGAAAAUAAAUGUAAUUAUUGGAUAUGUGGAGCA